rnacentral:tRNA from 1 species
UCCCUGGUGGCUCAGAUGGUAAAAGCAUCGGCCUACAAAGCGGGAGAUCCAGGUUUGAUCCCUGGGUUGGGAA